rnacentral:tRNA from 1 species
GGGCCGGUAGCUCAGCGGUAGAGCGUCUGCCUUACAAGCAGAAUGUCGGAGGUUCGACCCCUCUCCGGCCCA